UUUGUAUAUGAAUUUGUGUUGUUUAUUCACAAUGUCGAACAUCGUUAUUUUUUACGUGUUCUAUUUCGCUUUUGAAACGCUGUUUGUAUUACAUUUAAUGGGUUUUUUUUAUACCAUAAGAAUAAUCUUAAUAUAAUAACCACGGCCUUAGAAGAUAUGAUCGGAUAACUGGGCUAUAAAACGCAGAAUCUUAUUAAGAGAGGCGGUUAUUCUAUCCGUUAGUGCGAAAAGCAUCACUUUGUACUUUU